CUUGGACGCACUUUGUCUCUUGGCGUUCACCUGGUAGGUCUCGGUCUGGCGUGUUCCGGUUGCUUGAUGUGCUUGGCGUGCUUCGUUUGUGGUCAUUUUAAGAAUCGUAGAGAACGGCUGAUGGGACAAAGUGUCUUCAUCCAAGAUGACAAUGAGCAGGUCUGAGGCCAUCACACCCUGCCUGAAAACAGCAGAUUACCCCCUUCAUUCGAGUCACUGCCCAGAGUAAAGGAGUUCAAAUAUCUUGUGUAAAGUCAUCAUCAUCACAGGCGGAGGGGAGAACAGAAGGCUGAGCCUCAAGGCAAAGUGUGGCAGGGCUCAGCCUUGCAGACAGGGUGAGGACGGAGCAGCUGCUAUUUUCUGAAUGAGUCAGUUCAAGUGUUUUCCUGGAGUUGCCUGGAAAUCAGGAAGCGUGGUCACUACUCACCUACCACAGAUAUAUACGUAUGCAUAUGCAGCAAUGGUAGAAAUGUAUUACAGGACAAUGCAGAAAAAGAUUUCUUCUGUGGAGUCCCGCAAGGUUCUAUUUCAGGUCCUUUUUAGGCUUCAUAUACUCAUGCUUAGAGAUAUCAUCAGAAAGCAUAUCAUUGAAGUUCAUAGCUAUGUUGAUACCCAUCUAUAUAUUUUCUGUAUCCCCUCAUUACGUCAGUGCCCUAUUACAAUAUAUAGAUAAUUCUGUGCCUUGUUUAUAUGACAGAAAUGAAAAAAGAUGAUUGAGUUCAUUUAGAUCUAUUAAUUGUUUUAUUUGUGCUUAUUAUGUAUUUUAUUAUUAAAAUGUGUUGUUUUAUUUGAGGUUUACUGUUAAAGUGCACAUUUUGGACAAUAUUUUACCUUUCCUGAUA